GGAACAGGCCCAAUGUUGAAGGAAUAGGAGUUUCCUAUCCAGGUUCUUUCAUCCAUGGCAUAGAUAUCUGAAUGCCAAUCGGAGUGAUUCAGGAGGAAAAAACUUUGUGCUUGGUGAAGAAUUUUCCCGCUAUGCCUUGCUGCCAAAUUAUGUCACUCGUGCGCCGUUUUCCCUGACCCGUGUAAAUGUUAUAUUUUUUCUUGUGGUGUCAGUGUGUGAAUAAACGGUGCUUGCACGGUGCAACAAAUUCUCGUGGAAAAUUUUGAUAAAAUUGCUGUUAUUCAUGAAUCAAGAUAUUAAACAGUAGCUCAUCUGUCAUUGAAAAUAUUCAUAAACAUCAUUCAUGUGAAAAGGUUUCACAAUGCCAGCGUAGCGUCCCACCGGCCCAGCGAUGCCGCGCAUCCGCUCGUCCAGCUCGGGCAGCGGCUAUGAGGACCUGUCGUCUCUGGCGGGUAGCGUAGCGCCGGGCUCGCUGCUCAGCCAGGUGCGCGGCGUGCGGGAUCCCGGCGAUGAGCUCGAGAUGACCGCAUCCACCGCCGGCGUUGUGCCUGAUGACACGUUCACCGUGGACCAGGCGGUGAACGCCAUCGGCUUCGGACGCUUCCAAGUGCGCCUCUCGCUCAUCACGGGCCUCUGCUGGAUGGCCGACUCGAUGGAGAUGAUGAUCCUCUCUAUCCUGUCCCCGGCCGUCCAGUGCACGUGGCGCAUAUCCGAGUGGCGUCAGGCGUUCAUCACCACUGUCGUCUUCCUCGGCAUGAUGCUCAGCUCGCCAUUUUGGGGAAAAUUCAGCGACAAGUACGGACGGAAAACGACGCUGGUAUUGUCCGGCUCGUUCUUGUUCUUCUAUGGCUUCCUGUCAGCAUUUGCGCCUACCUAUGUCUGGCUGCUGCUGCUGCGGGGUCUGGUCGGCUUCUGCGUCGGAGCCAUACCUCAGGCUGUUACACUAUACGCUGAGUACUUGCCCGUGAAGCAGCGAGGAAAGUGCGUUAUUUUAUUGGAGUGUUUCUGGGCGCUGGGAGCCUGUAUGGAGGUGCUGCUGGCCCUGUUUGUGAUGCCCACACUGGGCUGGAAGUGGCUGCUGGGCCUCUCGUCACUGCCUCUACUGCUGUUCACCCUCAUAUGUCCGUGGCUUCCGGAGAGCGCGCGGUUUCACGCGGCGAGCGGUCAGUCAGAGCGCGCGCUGAGCACCCUCAAACGGAUGGCAGACGACAACGGCAAGCCGAUGCUGCUCGGCCGGCUGAUCGUAGAUGACGUGAGCACAGUGCGGCGCGGAGCGCUCAGCGACCUGCUGGUGCCCGAGCUGCGCACCACCACACUGCUGCUCUGGUUCAUAUGGUGGGCCAGCGCGUUCUGCUACUACGGCAUCGUCCUGAUGACCACGGAGCUGUUUGAACUAUCCGAGGAAGAUCUGUGCAGUGCGCCGCAGGGAUGGGAGGGAGCCGAGGUAUGUCAGGCGUCGUGUAAGCCACUCCAGCAGGAGGACUACAUUGACCUGCUCUGGACCACACUGGCGGAGUUCCCAGGAAUAUUCUUCACGCUACUGAUCAUCGAGAAGUUCGGGCGAAAGAAAACGAUGGCGACCGAGUUUUUCAUCUACACUCUGGCCAUCCUGACCCUGUUCUUCUGCGUAAAGAGCCGUGCCGUGCUUACCGUAACUCUGUUCGUGUGUCGGGGGAUGAUCGCCGGCAUGUUCCAAGCCGCCUACGUCUACACUCCGGAGGUGUACCCGACCACGCUGCGGUCGAUCGGCGUCGGCUCCUGCAGCGGCUUUGCCCGACUGGGCGCCAUGCUGACCCCGCUCAUAGCUCAGUUCACCCGCACCUCGGUGCGUUACACUGCCGUCACGUACAGCGCCACCUCCCUACUGGCCGGCCUGGCGGUCCUCUGUGUCAAACCGACCUCCAAGGUCAUGCAGUAGGGUGGUCCGGAGCGGCUCCGUCCUACUCCGUGCCUACUCCUGAACCGACCUAUCCUCUUCCCGACCACAGCUCCGGAACGGCAGGUUCUCAUCUACCGUUCUCCGUUCGCGUCCGUGAUCGUGUACGCGUUCGUGGCGAUGACCGCUGGCCUGGCGUGUCUGCUGCUGCCGAUCGAGACGCGCGGCCGACCUCUGCAGAGCAGCCUCUCCACCGCCGAGUUCCAGUGAGUGCAGCUGUCUGGUCGCGGCAGACCCCUGCAGAGUAGCCUGUCCAUCGCCGAGUUCCAGUGAGUGCGACUGUCUGGUCGCGGCUGACCCCUGCAGAGGAGCGUAUCCAGCUCCGCGACUUGGUCGCGGCUGACCUCUGCAGAGGAGUCUGUCGAGCUCCGACCUACAGUGAGCACGACUGUCCACCAGCGGCGGACCCGGUCCACAUUACGCGAUUACACCCUUUUCGGUUCGGAACUGGAAGCGAUAAACGGCUCGGCGGCGUCAUGUCGGCCCGUGUGCUGUGAGGGAGUGGUAACAUCGCCGAACGAUAACCGAGCGAACCGUGCUUCCUGAGUGGAGCUGGAGUUUUGGUCCGGGCGGGGAAUGUUGACAACGAAUCUCGAUAUCGAACAAACGCUACGUGAGCUUGUAUAUUUAAUCAACAGCGAGAACGUCUUGCGGUGAGUGUGCCUUGGAGCGUGAGUGCCGGAUCACUUAUGAAGUGAAAUUGGUGUGGGAGCGUCUUUACGUAAUGUUGAUUUUUUAAAUGUCUACGUCAGCUGUGUAAAUUUCGAUGAGACAUCUUCAAAUUAAGCCCACGGCCGCUGCAAAGCACGCACUUUUCUCUGAGAGGAUUUAACAACAUUAAGCAGGGUGUACUUACCAAAAAGUGCUUGUCUUUUUAAAUGUAAUAUUAUUAUGUGAUGAAUCCAUAUUAGCUCCUCAGUACUUUCCAUGCCCUGCUCCGCAGCUACUGAAUGCAUUCGUUGAUGAGCGGGCGGCGACGGCGGAAUCUGUACUGAUGGACCCCAUUACCGAGUCAUUAGCAAGUCUUGUUUUGAUUCCGACCAAAGGUCCACGAGCGGUCUCCUGUUGCGUGUUUGCUCAGCUCUUUUUUCGCAGUGAAUGGCAGUUGAACUAUCGCGCUUUCUUCACGUUGAACGCUGGGUUGGUGUGCGGUGUACGACUUGGCAGCUAUUCUUGGUACCUGAUAUCACUCAUCUUUCACGAGCAGUUAGAUGGCACACUAUUUUAAACAAAGUUGCUCAAUUUUGUACUUAUAUUUUGUCCCCUUUGCACCUUUUGCGCAGUUUCUUUCGUCUGAUUACUGCGUUGUUCUAAUUAUUUAUAGUUUAUUUUGUCGUUUGCUACAGUGUAAAUGGUGCAGGCAAUAAAUUUAUAUGUCGUGA